CCUUCGAUAGCUCAGCUGGUAGAGCGGAGGACUGUCGAUCCUUUAGGUCGCUGAUUCAAUUCCGGCUCGAAGGA